UGAGCCUGCAACCUAUGCAUGUGCCCUUGACUGGAAUCGAACCCAGGACCCUUCAGUCUGCAGGCCAACACUCUAUCCAUUGAGCCAAACCAGCUAGGGCUGUUAGCAACUUUUUAAACCUUUGUUCCUAAGAAAUAAGUGAGAGUGAACAAAACAAGACCAAUAUCAGUCCAAAUUCUGGUUUUGCUUUAGUAACUCCAUUAAUCUUUGGCAUGUUUAUCAUUCAAUAUAUAGGAAAAAAUAUUCAUUUCCCUUGCUUUACAGACAAAUCUGUUAUAAAGAGGCCUUAUCUCACUCUGAAAUGGUUUUUGGGAAAGAAAACAAGAAAAGCAUGAUCACAUCAAAUAUACUAAUUAAUUCCACAAUGUACCCCAUCUUUAGAAAUAUUAAAUUAGGCCAAAUAUAGCCUAGGAAACAGGACAAGGUUACCCUCUCCCUGAGUGUGUCACAGAAGUAAAUAACAAAGACUGCCAAGCCCGUUACGACUCCUGGGACAGAGCAAGCCCUCAUCAACACUGAGAUUUUAUUGUUAGCAUUAGUAUUAGAAUUAGAAGGAGAAGCAUCUGGUAAGGUAUUUGCUCAACAUAUUCCAGUUCAAAAUACCAUGGAAUGUUAGAGGUAAAAUAUAUUGCAGAAAGGUUAUUCUCCUUUUUUAUAGGUAAUCUGUACAGAUGGUGAGAUAAAGUUAAGUGACUUACCAGAGCCCUCUGUCUGAUUAAUAAUAAUAACAAUAACAAUAGAAGUGCUUACUGUGUGCCAGGCACUGUAGUAAGUGCUCUAUGUAUAAUAUUGAAUUGACACAGCAGUCCAAUGUGACAGCAUACCAUACUAGUUACUAUUAUCCCAUUUUAUGGACUAGGAAGUUGAGGCCCACACCACACAGUGUAAGUGAAUCUCACAAAGACACACUCUUGGUCAGAGUGGGAGCUCUGAUUCAAACCCAGGUCUACCUGACACCAAAGCCUGGGCUCUUCCCACCGAGCAGUACCUCCUAUGUGGCUUGUCACUUGCUCCUUCCCGGAUUGCUUUAUGACAGGAAGUCUUAUCUUUUCAACAAAACCAAGUGCAAGGACAAUGCUACCUGUUUCUUUUGAACAUGCAUGGCAUAGGACUGGGUCCUGGGCAGAUGCUCAGAAAAAUGUUUGCUGAGGGCACAGCAGUAUUAAAAAACGCCUUGUAACAGCACAAAACCGUGAAUGCGGAAGCACUCGAGACGAGCCAACUCUGGACAAAAUUGCUCAGGUAAUGACUUGUGCCUGGAUUCCGUCCCGUGGCAGAAAGUGAGUCCUCACUUCUUUAAUUGCCCUCGGUUCAUCAGUUCAAGAACUGGGCUUGAGGAAAACUGCUCCUCAGCUCUAAGCAGCAGAACGGUAGCAUAUUCUCCUGCUAGGCCUACGCUAGUGCUGCUAUCUAUCAAUCACAGCAAACAACACCCAACGAGCUUGCUCAAGCACCCCUAAGGCAGGGCAUGCCUGACAGGCAUGCAGGUGAAACCAGAUGUCCUUGAGAACAGAGCCACUUCCAACUGGUAUGAGUUGAAUGUUGACCUGUUGAAUGUUGGGCACACACACACAGGAACCUGGAGCAAUGCUUAGCUAAGGGGCAGCGCUAGCUGAUGCUUUUCUUUUCACAUUGAAAGAGAAUGAGCCCCUCUUGAGAGAAUGAAGAGACCCAGAAUGUAAGAAGCUAACCCCCUUCUUCCCUCCUCUGCCUGGCCCAGCACCCUCUCCUCCCAUUAAAAAUUGGGCACUGGAUCUGCUGAAUUGGACCAUGGCCCACACUCAGCCUCAAUCUGGCUGUGUUACUUCCCAAACCAGAUCAGUAACAUCAUUAACCUGAGAAAUGUAUACAAACUAUUGCUAUGCAAGAUAACUCCAAAAAGACAAUCCCAAGUUCAUUACAACUCAGCUAAAACAAAAGACCAUGAUGCUUAACAAGGCCUAGGUCUCAUAUUUACAAACCACGUAAGAGACAUCUGGAAAACUUUAUGGUCUACCCAAUCAGAGUUGUGUACACAUUGAGCAUAUACAUUUAAUGUGUCCUUAAUGCUUCCCCACAGCUCCCCCCACCCCCACCACUUUUUAUCCUCCCACCCCCCUGAAGCACAGAUAGGCUUGCUGUUCUGAGUUCUAAUAAAUUUCCUGUUGGAACACUUGUAACAGUUUCCAAUAUCUCCCAUCAAAUCCAAAACAAGGUCAAAGGCACUUCCUGAGUCUUUCAGUGAGCUCAUACCAUGCCACAGUGGGAAGCUUUCCUCUUAUUGCUCAGAAGUUUGGGCACAGGGAAAAUUUGGAACAUGGCAGGUGAAGGAGAGCCAUGCCCGACUCUGGAGAGUUCUGUUCCAGGGCCUCUGGCAGUCACAACUAAAGUUAGACAGAGCUGAGGCAACACACCAGGCAGCACACCUUGUAAUCAGUGUGUGCACAUACCAGGACAUGUUGUACCUUCUCUCCGUGAUGUGCUCAUCUUCCACUUGAGCCCCAUCUGAAUCCAAUCAUUUGCCUGCCUUCCUCUUUCUCCUUUAGAUCAGGAACUGACACCAGGAAGAAAAGAACGCUGUAUAUAUUUGUAAAACAUCUCUAAAAAGCUCAGAAAUUGCCAUAAGAGCAUAGUUUUAACAUUUUACUCAAUAAUGAUUCUGUUGAAAAUUCCAGGGUAGUGUCUGACUCACUGAGGCUUAUCAUGAAAAACUGUGCUACAACACAAAGACCCUAGACCUGUGUCUUAUGCUAUAAAACAUGAGGCGUGGUCUUGAAGAUCUCAGGUCCCUUUUAUCAAUCCCUUACUUCCGGCAGCUAAGUUUUCAUGUGCAGCGCCGAUGGACGGAUGGAUGAGCAGCGUACCUUCUUAAAAGUGUGGGCGAAUGCUUUAAGCAAGAUCUGGAUGAGACCUAUCCUCUAGUCACCCUCACAGCAGUUAACACGAUACGUGGAAAAGCUGCUGAGCUUAGUGAAAUCACCCAUGGUGCUUCCAGAUCUUUCUCUCAGCGCUUGGUCAGUCUAGCUUGCAGAAGAGCUCAUUUUCAGAACUUGACCAUCUUUAGGGCUUUUUUUUUUUUUUUUUUUUUUUUUUUUUGUCAAGGCCCCUCCUCCACUGUUAUGUUUACAAAUCUGGCUGCUUUUCUUAGCCUAGAGCAGUGGUUCUCAACCAGGAAGACUUUUCUCCCCUGGUGGCAUUUGGCAGGGUCAGGGUUAACUUUUGGUUGCCACAAGCUGGAGAGGUGUGUUACUGGCCAUCCAGUGGGUGAAGACCAGGGAGGCUGCUAAACAUCCUACAGUGAGAAGGGAUGUCCUCACAACAGAGAACAGUCUGACCCCAAAUGUCAAUCGUGCCAAGACUGAGAAGCCCAGGUCUAGAGAGAGGAGGGAUGAAGGUAGGGAGGGAGAGAGGGAGGGAAGGAAGAAAGGAAGAAAGGGAGGAAUAAAGGAAGGGCGAGGUUAGAACCAGCAUUCCUCUCCGGCCACACUUUUUCCAGAAGGGCCACAUGCUGGCCUGCAGUAGCUGGCUCAUUGCACACAUGUAUGUUAGCUGCCAAGAUGCUAUAGGCUCUCUGAGUUUGUGACCUCUGAACUCUUAUUACACAUCUGGCAUUGUGUUUUAAACCCCCUCCCUUCUCCUCUAAAAGAGGGUCUAGUAACGGUGCUUCAACUAAGUUUCAGACUCUUUGCAGAUCAACAGAAAGCCAGUCCAGCCCUCCUGAGCUGAUUCUCUCAGGUGACCUAGCAAGGUGGGCUGUUUUCUUUGCAGGUUGAAACUCUUGUUUUUCUUAGGACACAAUGUUCUCUUGAGGCUCUAUGCCUGGCAGCAAAAAAACAAAACAAAAAACAAAAAAAGAAAAGCAACCACACAACUUUGCUGUGGGUACACAGAUAUGGGGUGAGGAUUCAGGGUCUGAUAACUCAGACACUUGGAGAACUUCCUUAUCAAGGUGAAAACCCCUUACCCCUCAGAGGCCUUACCCAGGCCUGGAGCUUUUGGGCAACCAACUAAGAGUCACAGGGGAUGGCAACUGGAGAGAAAAGUGGCUGCUGACUCAACAGUAGCCAACGGGUAGGCGUCAAGCCGUUUCCUCACCUGCUAGUGCUCCAUAGCUGCUACAUUUGUCUCUGCCAAGCUAAUGCGACCCAGAAGUUCCCAGUGGCCUUCCCCACCGAAGGGACUACUGGCUGGUCUUUGAAACACCUGUUGGCAAUACCCAGCUCGGAGACCUGGGCGUCCUCACCUUUCUCCACACUGGACUGAGGCUAGCCAGCAGCGGCCGCUCCUCCCUGGCAUGGACCCUGAUUUACCAUGGAGCCCUAAGGAAAUCAUUCUUUACCCCAUACCAAGAGGUCAGAGAGGUAUACUAACCUUUUUUCUAUCACAUGAGAAAAAGCAAGAUCCAUAAGAGAUUUCCAAUCUUCCCAUGGACCAGAAGGACUCUUGGAGAAGACCCUACGUUGUCUAGUUAGUAACAGUCCUGCCCCACUCUGUUCCUACAGAACACAUUUCUAUGGGGGUGGCGUUGUGACUACCUUAAAACAAACGAACAGGAAGCCUGCAUUCUCCAGAUUCCCUUGCAGAAAGGGGUGGCCCUAUGAGGUUGAUUAACAAUAUGUACCCUGGUCACAAGUAGGACGUUGAAGAGAACAAACUUGGCUGGGUGGCUGUUUACCUUUUGCCCUCUACCCUGAAGCAUGUACCUGGAUCCCCUGCCGCUGUGUCUCAAGCACAAGAAAGCGGGCGGUGUGGUAGGGGUUGUGAAAUUAAGAGACAGCGCAAAGAAGCUGCGACACUUGCUGUUAUGGAAACUCCAGUACUUAUACCAUGGCAACUUUGCAAUUUAUUUCAUUUUUCUGAA